rnacentral:lncRNA from 1 species
AAAGAGACUUAAUUUACCCAUAAAGAAGUGGAAUACUGGCAGGCAUAUGGUAGGGGUAGGGAAAAGGAGAACAUUUUUGAUGGAUGGCACACUAUAUACAAAGAUUAGAGGUGAGAAAGAUUAUGGACUGUUGAUGGUAUGUUUUCUUGCAGCCAGAGAACAAGCUAGGAACAGAGUAAGGAGCCGCUCUAUGAUGAGCUCUGGAUGCCAAGAUGAAAUGAAUUCUCAAAAGAGGGAGGAACUCCAGGGAAAGACAGAGGGAAUGCAACAUUUCGGAGGAGGACAUGCUAAGCUAACUAAGAAUCAGCAAGUAAUACCAACACUCAGUUAUCUGCUGAGGGGGUCUUCAUCACCCAGAUACACAGGAGAGAUACUGGUGAUUUCUGGGAACUCUGGUUGUGUGACUGCAGACUUGACACCACAGGAAGUAAAGAGAACCCGUCCUCUCGUCCUCUGAAUGUUCUGAAAGUCUUAAAAACACAAGGCCGAAAGAAGAGGGGCCAAGAUGGCAGCAUAGGAAGACCCUGAACUCACCUCAUCCCACGGACACACCAAAUCUAUACCUAUAUAUAGAGCAAUUACUCCUGAAGAAGAACUGAAGUCUGACUAAGCACUUUACACACAACAAAAGAUACAGGGGCCACACAGAAAAUGGCAGGAGAGGGAUCACUGGGUGG